rnacentral:rRNA from 1 species
UACGUAGGGUGCAAGCGUUGUCCGGAAUUAUUGGGCGUAAAGAGCUCGUAGGCGGUCUGUCGCGUCUGCUGUGAAAACUCAGGGCUUAACCCUGAGCUUGCAGUGGGUACGGGCAGACUAGAGUGCGGUAGGGGAGACUGGAAUUCCUGGUGUAGCGGUGAAAUGCGCAGAUAUCAGGAGGAACACCGGUGGCGAAGGCGGGUCUCUGGGCUAUAACUGACGCUCAUGCACGAAAGCGUGGGGAGCAAACAGG